rnacentral:rRNA from 1 species
GACGAACGCUGGCGGCGUGCUUAACACAUGCAAGUCGAACGGAAAGGCCCUGCUUUUGUGGGGUGCUCGAGUGGCGAACGGGUGAGUAACACGUGAGUAUCCUGCCCUUGACUUUGGGAUAUCUUCAGGAAACUGGGGCUAAUACCGGAUAGGAUCUCUUGCUGCAUGGUGGGGGUUGGAAAGUUUCGGCGGUUGGGGAUGGACUCGCGGCUUAUCAGCUUGUUUGUGGGGUAGUGGCUUACCAAGGGUUUGACGGGUAGCCGGCCUGAGAGGGGGACCGGCGACAUGAGGACUGAGAUACGGACCAGAAUCCUACGGGGGGCAGCAGUGGGGAAUAUUACACAAUGGGCGGAAGCCUGAUGCAGCAACGCCGCGUGCGGGAUGACGGCCUUCGAGUUGUAAACCGCUUUCGCCUGUGACGAAGCGUGAGUGACGGUAAUGGGUAAAGAAGCACCGGCUAACUACGUG